rnacentral:piRNA from 1 species
UUNGCCUAUGUGCCAAGGAGCCCGGUAUG